GAUGAACGCUGGCGGCGUGCCUAAUACAUGCAAGUCGAGCGAACGGACGUGAAGCUUGCUUCUCUGAUGUUAGCGGCGGACGGGUGAGUAACACGUGGAUAACCUCCCUAUAAGACUGGGAUAACUUCGGGAAACCGUAGCUAAUACCGGAUAAUAUUUUGAACCGCAGGGUUCAAAAGUGAAAGACGGUCUUGCUGUCACUUAUAGAUUGAUCCGCGCUGCAUUAGCUAGUUGGUAAGGUAACGGCUUACCAAGGCAACGAUGCAUAGCCGACCUGAGAGGGUGACCGGCCACACUGGAACUGAGACACGGCCCAGACUCCUACGGGAGGCAGCAGUGGGGAAUCUUCGGCAAUGGGCGAAAGCCUGACGGAGCAACGCCGCGUGAGGGAUGAAGGUCUUCGGAUCGUAAAAUUCUGUUAUUAGGAAAGAACAUAUGUUUAAGAAACUGUGCACAUCUUGACGGUACCUAAUCAGAAAGCCACGGCUAACUACGUG
rnacentral:rRNA from 1 species